GCUUCCGGCAACUGAUGCCUCCGCUGGCCACUCCUCUCUCCGUCCACCUGUCACUUCGGGUAGCUGGGAGGCCAGUGUACAUAUAUAGAAAUUGAUCAAGUUUCUGAAACAUAUGCUGUUGUCCUGAGUCGCCCAGCGUGGUUGUGGGGGGCAGAAAUGGGAGCCAAUGAGCAUGGAGUUUGCAUUGGGAAUGAAGCUGUACGGGGAAGAGAAGAAGUUUGUGAUGAAGAAGCACUAUUAGGAAUGGACCUUGUCAGACUUGGCCUUGAAAGAGCUGAUACAGCUGAAAAAGCCCUCAAUGUCAUUGUUGACUUACUAGAAAAAUAUGGCCAGGGUGGAAAUUGCACAGAGGGUAGGAUGAUAUUUAGCUAUCACAACAGUUUCCUGAUAGCUGAUAGGAAUGAAGCCUGGAUUCUGGAGACUGCAGGGAAGUACUGGGCAGCAGAAAAAGUACAAGAGGGAGUUCGUAAUAUUUCUAAUCAACUUUCCAUAACAACCAAGAUUGACCGGGAACACCCAGACAUGAGAAACUAUGCUAAGCGGAAAGGUUGGUGGGAUGGUAAAAAGGAGUUUGAUUUUGCUGCAGCAUAUUCCUAUCUUGACACAGCUAAGAUGAUGACUUCAUCAGGCAGAUACUGUGAGGGCUACAAGCUUCUAAAUAAGCACAAAGGAAAUAUAACUUUUGAAACAAUGAUGGAAAUUCUUCGAGAUAAACCGAGUGGCAUUAAUAUGGAGGGAGAAUUCCUGACCACUGCAAGCAUGGUUUCUAUUUUACCUCAAGACUCCAGCCUUCCUUGCAUUCACUUCUUUACAGGGACUCCUGAUCCCGAGAGAUCUGUUUUUAAGCCUUUCAUAUUUAUGCCACAUAUUUCACAACUAUUGGAUACCAGUUCACCAACAUUUGAACUUGAAGAUCUAGUUAAAAAGAA
rnacentral:sRNA from 1 species